rnacentral:pre_miRNA from 1 species
UGAGUGCGCCCUGGGAUGAGGUAGUAGGUUGUAUAGUUUCAGGGUCACACCCAAACUGGGAGUUAACUGUACAAUCUACUCUCUUUCCCAAGGCGGCACGCUG